AGACCCGAAACCCGGUGAUCUAGCCAUGGGCAGGUUGAAGGUUGGGUAACACUAACUGGAGGACCGAACCGACUAAUGUUGAAAAAUUAGCGGAUGACCUGUGGCUGGGGGUGAAAGGCCAAUCAAACCGGGAGAUAGCUGGUUCUCCCCGAAAGCUAUUUAGGUAGCGCCUCGUGAAUUCAUCUCCGGGGGUAGAGCACUGUUUCGGCUAGGGGGCCAUCCCGGCUUACCAACCCGAUGCAAACUGCGAAUACCGGAGAAUGUUAUCACGGGAGACACACGGCGGGUGCUAACGUCCGUCGUGAAGAGGGAAACAACCCAGACCGCCAGCUAAGGUCCCAAAGUCAUGGUUAAGUGGGAAACGAUGUGGGAAGGCCCAGACAGCCAGGAUGUUGGCUUAGAAGCAGCCAUCAUUUAAAGAAAGCGUAAUAGCUCACUGGUCGAGUCGGCCUGCGCGGAAGAUGUAACGGGGCUAAACCAUGCACCGAAGCUGCGGCAGCGAACGUAUCACUUAAAGCGAUUCAGCGGGUUACGAUUGACGGAGCGAAGCGACGUCAAAGCGUAUACAAAGUCGAGUCGGUUUAAGGAUACGUUCGUUGGGUAGGGGAGCGUUCUGUAAGCCUGCGAAGG
rnacentral:rRNA from 1 species